AACGAACGCUGGCGGCAUGCCUAACACAUGCAAGUCGAACGAACCCUUCGGGGUGAGUGGCGCACGGGUGCGUAACACGUGGGAACCUGCCCUUAGGUUCGGAAUAACACAGAGAAAUUUGUGCUAAUACCGGAUAAUGUCUUCGGACCAAAGAUUUAUCGCCUUUGGAUGGGCCCGCGUAGGAUUAGCUAGUUGGUGAGGUAAAGGCUCACCAAGGCGACGAUCCUUAGCUGGUCUUAGAGGAUGAUCAGCCACACUGGGACUGAGACACGGCCCAGACUCCUACGGGAGGCAGCAGUGGGGAAUAUUGGACAAUGGGCGAAAGCCUGAUCCAGCAAUGCCGCGUGAGUGAUGAAGGCCUUAGGGUUGUAAAGCUCUUUUACCCGGGAUGAUAAUGACAGUACCGGGAGAAUAAGCCCCGGCUAACUCCGUGCCAGCCGCCGCAGUAA
rnacentral:rRNA from 1 species